CACUCGGAGCAAGACCAAAUAGGGUUCCAUUGGCGUGGCCCGCGCUGGAACCGGGUAGGUUGCUAAAGGCGUGCAGUGAUGUACGUCGUAGAGGAAUGACUGUCCUCGACAGAACCCGGCUUACAGAUCGACUCUCCAC
rnacentral:RNase_P_RNA from 1 species